rnacentral:misc_RNA from 1 species
AACGCACAUUGCACCCUUUGGUUCCUAUCAAAGGGUAUGUCUGUUUGAGAAUCGUAUUACCAUCUCAAGCCUAUGUCGCUUGCUUGCUCGCAGGCCAGAUGACAUGAGUUUGGCUUGUAAUUGAGGCUUUAAUAAAGUUAGCGAUGCGCACACAGCACAUUGCAUUACACUGCUUGUUGGCCUUUAAAUUGAGGGAUUGCCAAGCUGGCCUUGUAUAUCAAGCCGGCCUUAGGGCUCUGUGUGGUAAGGUGUGUCAGUUUGACUUGACAACGCCAAUAACACUUUGCCUGUUCGUUUUAAUCAAACGAGAGGUCGACCUUGAAAGGACUGCGUGUCAACCAAAACCAAGUGCAAGUAACGUUGUACUUUGUCGGUCGGGUGUGUAGCACCAAUAAUGACUGGUUAAUUGAUCUCAAAUCAGACAAGACUACCCGCUGAACUUAA